AAGCGUGCGUAGGCGGUUUAUUAAGUCAGAUGUGAAAGCCCCGGGCUUAACCUGGGAACUGCAUUUGAAACUGGUCAACUAGAGUAUGGUAGAGGAAAGUGGAAUUUCUGGUGUAGCGGUGAAAUGCGUAGAUAUCAGAAGGAACAUCAAUGGCGAAGGCAGCUUUCUGGACCAAUACUGACGCUGAGGUACGAAAGCGUGGGUAGCAAACAGGAUUAGAUACCCUGGUAGUCCACGCCGUAAACGAUGAUAACUAGCCGUUGGGGGGAUUUACCCCUUAGUGGCGAAGCUAACGCGUUAAGUUAUCCGCCUGGGGAGUACGGCCGCAAGGCUAAAACUCAAAUGAAUUGA
rnacentral:rRNA from 1 species